UGCGCCUUGCCAGCCCGCUCAGAAACUUAAAGGAAUUGACGGGGGCCCGCACAAGCGGUGGAGCAUGUGGUUAAUUCGAUGAUACGCGAGGAACCUUACCUGGGCUCAAAUGUAUGUUGACGUAUUCUGAAAGGGAUACUUCUUCGGACAAUAUACAAGGUGCUGCAUGGUUGUCGUCAGCUCGUGCCGUGAGGUGUCGGGUUAAGUCCCAUAACGAGCGCAACCCCUACCUUUAGUUGCCAUCAGGUUAAGCUGGGGACUCUAAAGGAACUGCCUACGCAAGUAGUGAGGAAGGCGGGGAUGACGUCAAAUCAGCACGGCCCUUACGUCCAGGGCUACACACGUGCUACAAUGGCCGAUACAGAGGGCAGCUACCUGGUGACAGGAUGCAAAUCUCCAAAGUCGGUCUCAGUUCGGAUCGGAGUCUGCAACCCGACUCCGUGAAGUUGGAUUCGCUAGUAAUCGCGCAUCAGCCAUGGCGCGGUGAAUACGUUCCCGGGCCUU
rnacentral:rRNA from 1 species